GCGCUCCGGCGCCCUCCAGACAACCCUUUGUGAACUUAUACCUAUACUGUUGCCUCGGCGUCAGGCUGGCUCCCCUCGGGGGUCCCUCACCAUCUCGGUGAGGAGCAGGCCCGCCGGCGGCCAAGUUAACUCUUGUUUUUACACUGAAACUCUGAGAAUAAAACAAAAAUGAAUCAAAACUUUCAACAACGGAUCUCUUGGUUCUGGCAUCGAUGAAGAACGCAGCGAAAUGCGAUAAGUAAUGUGAAUUGCAGAAUUCAGUGAAUCAUCGAAUCUUUGAACGCACAUUGCGCCCUCUGGUAUUCCGGAGGGCAUGCCUGUUCGAGCGUCAUUUCAACCCUCAAGCCUGGCUUGGUGAUGGGACACUGCCUUUGAGAAAAGGCAGGUCCUGAAAUUCAGUGGCGAGCUCGCCAGGACCCCGAGCGCAGUAGUUAAACCCUCGCUUUGGAAGGUCUUGGUGUGGCCCUGCCGUUAAACCCCCAACUUCUGAAAAUUUGACCUCGGAUCAGGUAGGAAUACCCGCUGAACUUAAGCAUAUCAAUAAGCGGAGGA
rnacentral:rRNA from 1 species